UUGGGGAAUCUUAGACAAUGGGCGCAAGCCUGAUCUAGCCAUGCCGCGUGAGCGAUGAAGGCCUUAGGGUUGUAAAGCUCUUUCGUGGGGGAAGAUAAUGACUGUACCCCAAGAAGAAGCCCCGGCUAACUCCGUGCCAGCAGCCGCGGUAAUACGGAGGGGGCUAGCGUUGUUCGGAAUUACUGGGCGUAAAGCGCACGUAGGCGGACUGGAAAGUCAGGGGUGAAAUCCCGGGGAUCAACCCCGGAACUGCCUUUGAAACUCCCAGUCUUGAGUUCGAGAGAGGUGAGUGGAAUUCCGAGUGUAGAGGUGAAAUUCGUAGAUAUUCGGAGGAACACCAGUGGCGAAGGCGGCUCACUGGCUCGAUACUGACGCUGAGGUGCGAAAGCGUGGGGAGCAAACAGGAUUAGAUACCCGUGUAGUCC
rnacentral:rRNA from 1 species